rnacentral:rRNA from 1 species
UACGUAGGGUGCAAGCGUUAAUCGGAAUUACUGGGCGUAAAGCGUGUGCAGGCGGCUAUGCAAGACCGAUGUGAAAUCCCCGGGCUCAACCUGGGAACUGCAUUUGUGACUGCAUGGCUAGAGUACGGUAGAGGGGGAUGGAAUUCCGCGUGUAGCAGUGAAAUGCGUAGAUAUGCGGAGGAACACCGAUGGCGAAGGCAAUCCCCUGGACCUGUACUGACGCUCAUGCACGAAAGCGUGGGGAGCGAACAGG